rnacentral:rRNA from 1 species
GACGAACGCUGGCGGCGUGCCUAAUACAUGCAAGUCGAGCGGACACAUGGGAGCUUGCUCCCUGAUGUUAGCGGCGGACGGGUGAGUAACACGUGGGUAACCUGCCUGUAAGACUGGGAUAACUCCGGGAAACCGGGGCUAAUACCGGAUGGUUUUUUGAACCGCAUGGUUCAAACAUAAAAGGUGGCUUCGGCUACCACUUACAGCUGGACCCGGGGCGCAUUAGCUAGUUGGUGAGGUAAUGGCUCACCAAGGCAACGAUGCGUAGCCGACCUGAGAGGGUGAUCGGCCACACUGGGACUGAGACACGGCUCAGACUCCUACGGGAGGCAGCAGUAGGGAAUCUUCCGCAAUGGACGAAAGUCUGACGGAGCAACGCCGCGUGAGUGAUGAAGGUUUUCGGAUCGUAAAGCUCUGUUGUUAGGGAAGAACAAGUACCGUUCGAAUAGGGCGGUACCUUGACGGUACCUAACCAGAAAGCCACGGCUAACUACGUGCCAGCCGCCGCAGUAA